AUGAUCCGACUGGUUUUAGGAAGCCUUGAUUUUAGUGCUGUUGUUGAUAGGGACUGACUUAUGUGACCUUGAGACGUUACUUCUCUGGACUUUGCUUUUUUGAUCUGUAGAUUUGGGGCAGGCUGGAGUGCUGGUCUAGAUGACCCCCAAGGAUACCUCCCACAAUCUUCCUCAGUUUUACGGGACUUUUCUAAGGUGUAGUGAUUUGGAGAGGGGACAGGCUCAGCAUCAGUAUUUCUGCUGCAUCCCUCUGUAAACAUCUCAUGAAGUGGCUGAUUUGUGAGAAGAGG
rnacentral:lncRNA from 10 species